rnacentral:rRNA from 1 species
GUUGUAUAGUCAAGUAAUUAAGUGCAUGUGGUGGAUGCCUUGGCAGUCAGAGGCGAUGAAAGACGUGAUAGCCUGCGAAAAGCUCCGGGGAGGCGGCAAAUAUCCUUUGAUCCGGAGAUGUCUGAAUGGGGGAACCCACCUACUUUAAGGUAGGUAUUGCAACAUGAAUACAUAGUGUUGCAAGGCGAACGAGGGGAAGUGAAACAUCUCAGUACCCUUAGGAAAAGAAAUCAAUUGAGAUUCCCUCAGUAGCGGCGAGCGAACGGGGAUCAGCCCAUUAAGUUAUGUGUGUUUUAGUGGAACGCUCUGGGAAGUGCGAACGUAGAGGGUGAUAUUCCCGUACACGAAAGGGCACACAUAAUGAUGACGAGUAGGGCGAGGCACGUGAAACCUUGUCUGAAUAUGGGGGGACCAUCCUCCAAGGCUAAAUACUCCUGACUGACCGAUAGUGAACCAGUACCGUGAGGGAAAGGCGAAAAGAACCCCUGUGAGGGGAGUGAAAUAGAUCCUGAAACCGCAUGCAUACAAGCAGUGGGAGCACCUUCGUGGUGUGACUGCGUACCUUUUGUAUAAUGGGU